rnacentral:rRNA from 1 species
UACAGAGGUCUCAAGCGUUGUUCGGAUUCAUUGGGCGUAAAGGGUGCGUAGGCGGCGCGGUAAGUCGGGUGUGAAAUCUCGGAGCUUAACUCCGAAACUGCAUUCGAUACUGCCGUGCUUGAGGACUGGAGAGGAGACUGGAAUUUACGGUGUAGCGGUGAAAUGCGCAGAUAUCAGGAGGAACACCGGUGGCGAAGGCGGUUCUCUGGGAAUUACCUGACGCUGAGGAGCGAAAGCAUGGGGAGCAAACAGG